AGUGAGCGCUGGCGGUAGGCCUAACACAUGCAAGUCGAACGGCAGCACAGUAAGAGCUUGCUCUUACGGGUGGCGAGUGGCGGACGGGUGAGGAAUACAUCGGAAUUUACUUUUUCGUGGGGGAUAACGUAGGGAAACUUACGCUAAUACCGCAUACGACCUACGGGUGAAAGCAGGGGAUCUUCGGACCUUGCGCGAUUGAAUGAGCCGAUGUCGGAUUAGCUAGUUGGCGGGGUAAAGGCCCACCAAGGCGACGAUCCGUAGCUGGUCUGAGAGGAUGAUCAGCCACACUGGAACUGAGACACGGUCCAGACUCCUACGGGAGGCAGCAGUGGGGAAUAUUGGACAAUGGGCGCAAGCCUGAUCCAGCCAUACCGCGUGGGUGAAGAAGGCCUUCGGGUUGUAAAGCCCUUUUGUUGGGAAAGAAAAGCAGCAGGUUAAUACCCCGCUGUUCUGACGGUACCCAAAGAAUAAGCACCGGCUAACUUCGUG
rnacentral:rRNA from 1 species